AAAUGGAAAGUUGCCCGAAUUAGAGUUUCCAUUUUUGGCUAGCCGACUUCUCUCUCUCUCUCUCUCUCUCUCUCUCUCUCGGCCGAAAUGAGCUCAAAACAGAGCAACUUUUCACCGGUCGAUCUCUCCCUCCUCAGGCCACCUCAAGACGUCGGAUCACCUCCAUUAGCUUCGCCUCGACCUUGCGCAGCUGCCAGUGGCAGCCUUGUGCCGCAACACGGCCGGAAGCGGCAGCGGUGGACUCGGCUCCGUUUUGAGCCGAUUUCGAGUCGAUCUCGAUAUCUCGAGAUACAGGCCACCAAUUCUCUUGAUUUUUGGCUCGUUGGACUCACCUCAACUUCCUGAACAAGCACCAAGAAGGACCGGACCUGGGUAGAUCGAUUUCACUUUCGUCGGAGCUCAACCCUUCUAGAUCGAAAAACAACCUUUCGAUCCGGAUAUCUCGAGUUACCGACCACUAUUCCUGGUGAUUCUUGGCCUGGUGAACUCGCCUCGAGUUUCUGAACAAGUAUCCAGAAGGGAUCGAGGCGAGUGGUGGAAGUUUUACGUCGAACUGGAGCUCGCCGGUUUCUGGAAAAAUUCCGGCCAAACCGGACUGUUGAGGUGAUUGACGGUUUGAGUUGGUGGAUGAUUGGAAACCGUAUUUUACGCUGGGAAGACACAGCGGGAUUGGAGCGGAUAAUCCUGCAGGUCAGGAUAAUCAGGGUCGAGAGCAAGCUGUGUAGGGCAGCGGGGUUGACAUCAGCACUUGGUCUAUUUGGUGUGUUUUAUAGACUCUUUCGAGCGUAACAUUUUAUCUAUGUUGGUGUUGUAGUAAUUGACUUGAGAGUUAGUUUUGCUACAAGGCUUGUAUUAUGGUUUGUGAGACGCUGAUUAAGAAAAAAAUUCAGGACGUUAUUUGUAUUGGUUAUUAUUCAUGUUUCGGAUUUGAAUUUGUUAUUCAAAAUUCGGGGCGUGAAAAAUGGCAACCCAUUAUUAUUAACGUAUCGGGCAUAGGUAGCCCUAGGCGUUAAAAGUCAAGACAUAGCUAACGGGGAGUGCAAUGGCAGCCCAUUAUUAUUAACAUAUCGGGCUUAGGUAGCCCUAGGCUUGAAUAGCCAAGACAUAGCUAACAGAUGUGCAAUGGCAACUCAUUAUUAUGAAGCUACAUGGUAUAGGCAUGUAUGAUAGCCAUCAUUUUUGGCAAAAUCAUCAGAUCAUUGAGUUGAUCUUAUUUUG